rnacentral:sRNA from 1 species
CUUGGUCAUUUAGAGGAAGUAAAAGUCGUAACAAGGUCUCCGUAGGUGAACCUGCGGAGGGAUCAUUACAAGUGACCCCGGUCUAACCACCGGGAUGUUCAUAACCCUUUGUUGUCCGACUCUGUUGCCUCCGGGGCGACCCUGCCUUCGGGCGGGGGCUCCGGGUGGACACUUCAAACUCUUGCGUAACUUUGCAGUCUGAGUAAACUUAAUUAAUAAAUUAAAACUUUUAACAACGGACCUCUUGGUUCUGGCAUCGAUGAAGAACGCAGCGAAAUGCGAUAAGUAAUGUGAAUUGCAGAAUUCAGUGAAUCAUCGAAUCUUUGAACGCACAUUGCGCCCCCUGGUAUUCCGGGGGGCAUGCCUGUUCGAGCGUCAUUUCACCACUCAAGCCUCGCUUGGUAUUGGGCAACGCGGUCCGCCGCGUGCCUCAAAUCGACCGGCUGGGUCUUCUGUCCCCUAAGCGUUGUGGAAACUAUUCGCUAAAGGGUGUUCGGGAGGCUACGCCGUAAAACAACCCCAUUUCUAAGGUUGACCUCGGAUCAGGUAGGGAUACCCGCUGAACUUAAGCAUAUCAAUAAGCGGAGGAAAAGAAACCAACAGGGAUUGCUCUAGUAACGGCGAGUGAAGCAGCAAUAGCUCAAAUUUGAAAUCUGGCGUCUUCGACGUCCGAGUUGUAAUUUGUAGAGGAUGCUUCUGAGUAACCACCGACCUAAGUUCCUUGGAACAGGACGUCAUAGAGGGUGAGAAUCCCGUAUGCGGUCGGAAAGGUGCUCUAUACGUAGCUCCUUCGACGAGUCGAGUUGUUUGGGAAU